UGGGGAAUAUUGCACAAUGGGCGCAAGCCUGAUGCAGCCAUGCCGCGUGUAUGAAGAAGGCCUUCGGGUUGUAAAGUACUUUCAGUCGGGAGGAAGGUGGUAAGGUUAAUAACCUUAUCAAUUGACGUUACCGACAGAAGAAGCACCGGCUAACUCCGUGCCAGCAGCCGCGGUAAUACGGAGGGUGCAAGCGUUAAUCGGAAUUACUGGGCGUAAAGCGCACGCAGGCGGUUGAUUGAGUCAGAUGUGAAAUCCCCGGGCUUAACCCGGGAAUUGCAUCUGAUACUGGUCAGCUAGAGUCUUGUAGAGGGGGGUAGAAUUCCAUGUGUAGCGGUGAAAUGCGUAGAGAUGUGGAGGAAUACCGGUGGCGAAGGCGGCCCCCUGGACAAAGACUGACGCUCAGGUGGGAAAGCGUGGGGGGCAAACAGG
rnacentral:rRNA from 1 species